CCUACGGGGGGCAGCAGUGGGGAAUAUUGGACAAUGGGCGAAAGCCUGAUCCAGCCAUGCCGCGUGUGUGAAGAAGGCCUUCGGGUUGUAAAGCACUUUCAGUGGGGAAGAAAGCCUUGGGGCUAAUACCCUCGAGGAAGGACAUCACCCACAGAAGAAGCACCGGCUAACUCCGUGCCAGCAGCCGCGGUAAUACGGAGGGUGCGAGCGUUAAUCGGAAUUACUGGGCGUAAAGCGCGCGUAGGCGGUCUGAUAAGCCGGUUGUGAAAGCCCCGGGCUCAACCUGGGAACGGCAUCCGGAACUGUCAGGCUAGAGUGCAGGCGAGGAAGGUAGAAUUCCCGGUGUAGCGGUGAAAUGCGUAGAGAUCGGGAGGAAUACCAGUGGCGAAGGCGGCCUUCUGGACUGACACUGACGCUGAGGUGCGAAAGCGUGGGUAGCAAGCAGGAUUAGAUACCCGUGUAGUC
rnacentral:rRNA from 1 species